rnacentral:rRNA from 1 species
UACAGAGGUCUCGAGCGUUGUCCGGAAUCAUUGGGCGUAAAGAGCGUGUAGGUGGCCCGGUAAGUCCGCCGUGAAAGUCCAGGGCUCAACCCUGGAAAGCCGGUGGAUACUGUCGGGCUGGAGUCCGGAAGAGGCGAGUGGAAUUCAUGGUGUAGCGGUGAAAUGCGCAGAUAUCAGGAGGAACACCAAUGGCGAAGGCAGCUCGCUGGGACGGUACUGACACUGAGACGCGAAAGCGUGGGGAGCAAACAGG